CGUUGAUCCCAAUGUAAACAAGGGGCGGGAAGAUUUCUGCUCAAGGGACGUGAUGGGCUUGAAAAAAGAAGUCUUUUGUGCUUCUACAGGCGAUUUGGCACCAAUGGGCUGCAGUGCAAAGAAAUAUUGGCAGAUUCAUGGGGGCUGACAUGGAUUUGAUGGAGGCCAUGGCAGAAUUUGAGGGAAUAUAUGAAAAUGUGUGUGUGUAUAAGCUGCAUUAGUUGUGAUACAGAAUAUACACAGAUGAUUCACAUUGAAGGCUUACCAUCAAACAAAGAACCAGUGUCAAGCUCAAAAUUACCAGGAUGUUUGUUGGGUCUACAUACUGCAGUGCCAGAAGACAUGGAGAUAGAUUACAAGAUUCAUGGCUACCAGGAAGACACUGAAGCAGAAGUCCACAGUGAAUCAUUGCAGUCUUUGCAAUAUUUCCCAGGAAGAUGAAAUUGUGAUUUCAGAUAGGCUACCAUAUGUCUACAUCAUCAGCCCCCAGGCCAGACCUUGAUGAAACAUCAUAUGAGUGAUUAGAAUUAAG